UACGUAGGGUGCGAGCGUUGUCCGGAAUUACUGGGCGUAAAGAGCUCGUAGGCGGUUUGUCGCGUCUGCUGUGAAAGCUCGAGGCUCAACCUCGGGCUUGCAGUGGGUACGGGCAGACUAGAGUGCGGUAGGGGUGACUGGAAUUCCUGGUGUAGCGGUGAAAUGCGCAGAUAUCAGGAGGAACACCGGUGGCGAAGGCGGAUCUCUGGGCCGAUACUGACGCUGAGGAGCGAAAGCGUGGGGAGCGAACAGG
rnacentral:rRNA from 1 species